CUCUGCUACCUAUCAAUCAAGAUACCCAAGCUUGCUUUCUCCUGACUGGCUCGCCAAAUCUCACGUUUGUUGUAUGUUGCAAGAUAAAGAAAGGAAAGGAAACGGAUGAAUCGGCAUCCCCCCUCCCCCCCUCUAUCCAGUAUGUUGUAUAGUACAGAGCCAAAGAAGUAAAUAAAAAAAUCAGGAAGAAGAGAUAAAUUGUUUGCUUUCAGAUAAUACUAAUUAAUAGAACAAUAAACUUAAAAAAAGCAAAGCAGUUACAAAUAGAAAUGUUUGAAAGAAAGUGUGGAUCAAGAGAGAGAGAGAGAGAGAGAGAGAGAGAGAACCUGCUUGACUGGGUUUACAAUGCACACACUACUACCUUUCCUUCUUUCCCUCACAGUCAAACAUCUAGAGUGGUGUGAGUGGUGUGUGCCUGCAGAUUACCUACCGCCUGUGUCACCUCCAACGCAUUACACACAAAACACUUUAUGUAAGAAGGAGACUGGCAUAGGGCAACAAAAAGGGAGAAAAUGCCCCACUGAUGCCACAGCCUCCAAACAAACAAAAAACAAACAUAAAAAAAGGAAGAGCUUAUUCAAAACUGCUGGAUAAGUGUCUUAUAAGAUAGAUGAAACCAGCAUGUUAGCAACCACACAUUAAAAACCACUAGAAGCACUCAGUGACACAAGCACCAUGAAGAACAAUGUAACUCAAGUUUAUAUGGUAACUAAAUGGUACAAGUGUUACAAUAAGACUUAAAAAUAUAUUGCAAAAUUGCAGUUGAUCUACAGAAAGCAUCUGAUCAUAUUAAACAUACCAUUAACCAUUGUCAGCCAAAAAUUCAUCUAUAUUCUUUUCUUGAAACUACUGUAAGUGUAGGUACUUAACCUAUUUUCUUCUAAGUUUGUUUCACUCAUCUCAUACUGAAAUUCUAAAGGGUUUUCUUUUUCUAUCCUUCAGCUGUCAUAAGUGUAGCAUUCUCUCUCUCUCUCUCUCUCUCUCUCUCUCUCUCUCUCUCUCUCUCUCUCUCUCUCUCUCUCUCUCUCUCUCUCUCUCUCUCUCUCUCUCUCUCUCUUUCUCUCUCUCUCUCACAUACCACCAUGUCAUCUAGUGUGCUGCAAGCCAUCUCAUCUAGGGUGCUUGUGGGCUCCAUGCUGCCGCUGCUUCAAGCUGUCCUACACACUAUGGUGCAGGAAGCAACUUUGGACUAUGACAGACCUCAAGAAUUCUACAGCCAAUAUGACUUCAUUAUAGUUGGUGCAGGGACAGCAGGCAGUGUGGUGGCAGGCAGGCUGGCUGAGGUGCCGUGGUUCAGGGUCUUGGUGCUAGAGGCUGGGGCAGUGCCCUCCCCUGAGACUUAUGCACCUGGUCUGGCACCACUUGGCUCUUUAAACACAAGUAACACAUGGAAUUACAUCACUGAACCACAGCAGCACAGCCUUGGCAACUUUGUGAAUCAGCGGGCAACCCUCCCCUUGGCUCGUGUGGUUGGUGGCACAUCCACCACAGGAGGAAUGGUGUACUCCCGCGGUGAUCCUCAGGACUAUGACAACUGGGAGACCCUCGGCAACCCUGGCUGGGACUACGACAGCAUCCUCUACUAUUUCAAGAAGGCAGAGGAUUACCUGGGAGGUCAUCUGGGAGAGACAGAGACUUAUCAUGGCAGAGGAGGACCCCUGGCAGUGAGCCCGGACCCCAAUGAAGGGCCUCUCUCUGAUGCCUUCCUGAGGGCCGGGGAAGAGCUUGGCUAUAACACACUGGAUCUCAACGGCCCGUACCAGAUGGGGUUCUCCAGGCCUCAUUAUAACAUAAGGGAAGGUGUGAGGUCAUCUACUGCAGGGUCGUACCUCCAACCAGCCUUGUCCUGGUCCAAUCUGCACAUCCUUCACAGCUCCACUGUCACCAAGGUCUUGUUCAAAGAGAAGAAGGCCAUUGGAGUCCUGUUUGAGUAUGAAGGAAAGACAUUCCAAGUGACAGCAGAGCGUGAGGUGGUGCUGAGUGCUGGGGCUGUUGCCAGCCCAAAGUUACUGUUGCUGUCUGGUGUGGGCCCCCAACAACACCUCAAGGACAACAAGGUUGAUGUGGUAGCAAAUCUGGCUGGUGUGGGCCAGAACCUGCAGGAUCAUCUGGGUGUGUAUGGGCUGGUAUGGACCCUACCUGGUGCUCCUCCACACUCUGGUCCUUUAUUCAACACCACAGCAAUGCACCAAUAUGUACGCCACAGGGAGGGGCCCUUCUCAGCACCCCCAGCACAGUGCAGCACAGCUAGGGUGGAGGUGGAAGAGGGCAAGAAUCAGUCAGGCAUUGGUAUUCUUUUCACUCCAGUCUCCUUCCACAUGGACCAAGGCCUCCCCACACCUUACACAUAUGGGAUGGAUGAGCAGAUGUACCAAGAGUAUUAUGGGAGUGUGCUGGGCAAGGCGGGCUUUACCAUGUUGGUGUCUCUGCUUCAUCCAAAGAGUACAGGAACCAUCAGCCUCCUCUCCACAGACCCCAGGGAUCCUCCAGUCAUAGACCCUAAGUUCCUCAGCCAUCCUGAUGACCUCCACACACUUGUCAAGGGAAUACAGUUUGCCUUCAAGUUAGCCAACACUGAUGCCCUCAGGAGUCUUGGAGCAAAAUUCCAUGACAAACCAUUGCCGGGAUGCAGGAGGAAUGGUGGCAAGAAGGAUGAGGGUGAAGAGGAAGACAAGGAAUAUUGGAGAUGCUUCAUUCAACACAUGGCCUCCUCUCUGUGGCACCCAGCUGGCACCUGCAGGAUGGGCCCCUCCAGUGACCCUCUGGCAGUGGUGGACAGUAGCCUGCGAGUGCACUGUGUGGAGGGCCUGAGGGUGGUGGAUGCCUCUGUCAUGCCAGCCACUGUGUCAGGUGGCACAGCAGCGGCCACAGUCAUGAUAGCAGAGAAGGCGGCUGACAUCAUCAAGGCAGACUGGGACAUUGAUGUUGACUAUGACUUCAUUUUAUGAUUGCUAGAAAAUAAAGUAUAAUUUGCCUCAUGUUGCCUUGCUGUGCUCCGUUGUGGUUAAUUUGUUGAUAUUUUGUCCUGGAGGUUAGGAAUGUCAUUAGAUUAGGUUAGGUUAGGACUGUGGAAUAUUUAGUCAUACAAGUGUAUUUCUAACAUUUUCUAGUGAAGCCAGCCAUACUAGAAACGUGGCCUCAUUUUUUUUUAACAUUUUAUCCCAAGGUCACCAAACCCUUCUCCAUGACAUGUGAGUUUCGUGCUUGUAUGUAACAUGGACGUGAUAUCCAGAUUAACUCACCACCUCAAAUAAAACCUCACCUGUGCCUUUCUGAAGAAGACAGGGCAACUACCAUGCUUGUGAUACCCUCAUAGGUCUCCCUCAGGGCUCAUACGACCCCCAUAGGAUCAUCGCAGCCCCACAGCAUCAAGAUCAAUACCCAGCUGUUGAACUAGAGCUAUGGCAGAACUUAAAGAACAAGAAAAACCUACAGGGCGCCAGUAUGCAAUAAUGACGUUAUCGGUAUUACAGCCUGCCACCGCAUCAUCACAGAUAUUAUUAAAGCCCCGUUCACCUAUUGGCGAAUUUUGAUGGCGACUCCGCUGCGACUCUGCUGCGAGUUCCUGACCGGCGACUGUGCUGCGAUUCUCAUGCUUGGCGAACGUGCUGUGAACGCGCUGCGACCGCGUUGCGAAUGUGCUUCCACUCCACUGUCAAUGAGCUGUGAAUGCAGUGCGACUCAUCGAUGGAGUAUAUUUAUAGGAGACACUUAUAAACACUUCAUGUUUGUGAGAGCUCUCCUCGUGUGCGCGACAUCAGGAUGCUUCUUGGUGUGGAAAACAAGUCGAAACACAAACAAAUAAAUUACAGAAAAAUGUCUGAAUCACACAAAAUCGCACAAUACUGAGAGAGAGAGAGAGAGAGAGAGAGAGAGAGAGAGAGAGAGAGAGAGAGAGAGAGAGAGAGAGAGAGAUGCACAAUCAUUUUUGCAGUAAGGUAUCAAUCCACUGUCACCUGACCCUAGCAUAAAGAUGUGAAGGGCAUGUAGAAGAGAUUGGUAUUAUGGCAAAUCCGCUGCGACAGCGCUGCGAAAGCGGCGAACUUGCUGCAACAAUACUGCGAAUCCAUUCUACAGCGGCGAAAGUGCCGCGACAACGCUGCAACAGUGCUGCGACUCCCAGCCGUGGAGACUCUGCUGAGAAUGUUUUAAAAGUCCAAAAUAUUCGCUGUCCUCUGGCGAAUGCGCUGCGACUCAGCUCGCUCUGGCGACUCUGCUGUGAGUCCGUUGCGAACGCGCGGCAACUCCGCUGCGAACCAGUCGCAGCGGAGUCGCAACGCAUUCGCCUUCCAAAUUCACCUAUGUGUGAACGGGGCUUAAGGAGUUGCCAAUAUAAACUGAUUUAGAAGAAAUUUUAUCACCUAGAGCAUGAAAAUGAAGACCAAGUUCAAGCGAGGGAGCAAAGGAAGAGGAAAAAGACAACAUGGAGGUUGUUUACUUAUGGCAGUGACGGGUGUUGAAGAAAAGUGCACCAAGGAUUGACAAAAUACAUAAAGAAAUAAAUACAUAAAACGUGUGAACACCAGUCAGUUGAAAGGAUCGAACCGCAUUCUGAAAGGUUUCGUCGUAUCUCGAAAAUUUUCCACAGGUUCUAGUGCAGGGUUUUAAGAGUGUUUUCAAGAGUGAUUUCGUGAUGCCAGUGAGUGUUUAAAAAGGGUUGUGCAUCAUUAAAAAAAAAAAAAAAAGAGAGACUCCGACUUACCAUGUCUCUGUAACCUUUAAAAAAAUAAAUAUUGGCGUAAUUUUGCGAUACUGAUACCGUGAAUUGUACAGCAGUGCUACUACUACUACUACUGCUACUGCUACUACUACUACUACUACUACUACAACUACUACUACUACUACGGGUGCUACGAAGGUUUGAUAAGUACAAUUCAUGUAUUUUAUGUUGAUAAGUAGCUUUUAAGACGACAUUGUUACCUUCCUUUAGGCCAUGGUUACCCAGUCAACUAGUCAUUAAAGCCACAUUAAGUUGAGGAUUAAAGCCACAUUAAGUUGAGGCCUUGUUUAUUAUCUAGUUGUGUAACUUGGCUUAUACUUUCCUAAGCUGUCUAGAAGUUAGUCUGAUAUGAAGUUUACACCUCUAUAAAGACUGUCUGGUGCUCGCAGAGAGAGAGAGAGAGAGAGAGAGAGAGAGAGAGAGAGAGAGAGAGAGAGAGAGAGAGAGAGAGAUUUAGCUAAUAACGUCGUUGUUCGUAGAAACCAGUGAUAAGUACUGUGGCGCGAUGAGUAAAUAUUUACAUACGGUUUGUGGUCAGAGAUCGCAUUCUCAAACGUUUCGGAUUCGUAUUUUGAAUUCUAUUAACACAUUAAAGUGGAAAUUAUUGGAGUUUUUGAGUGUUUUAACUAUUGAAGUAAUAGUUCAAUAAGGACUCCGACUAUUAAUGGGGAAAAAAAUAAUUGAAAACCCGACUUAUCAACUACAUAACCUUUGAAAAUGGUCCUGAUGAGUGAGUCAAUGUUUGUAUACGAGCGUCAGAAGCAAGACGAAGCGAAAUCCAGUGUCCUCAUCGUAUUAUCACCAGAUGGCAGUGUUCUCGAGGCUGCCCUCUCCAGCCUGGGAACAGCGCGCUACUCGCCUUAAGUCACAUUACCAAACUGGGAAGCACUACCUAACCUUGAGCACUAUCUGUUUAUACCGUGUCCAUGUAUUCUGCGCCUUCUGCCUCUCGUUCCCUGUCCUUCCGAGUUUUCUUCAAUAACUGUAAACAAAGAAAGUAUGAGGAGUUUAGCAAGAUGCCACAGUCUGAUUACAGCUUUCCCCUUAUGGAACGUAUAAUUUUGUUUUCUCUCGACAAAAAAGCGUAGGAAAUUGGGGAGACUGCAAAAGGCCAACUGAACAAGACAAGACAGAUCCUGAGCCAUUGAACACAUAACCGCCUGCCAUCAUCAUCAUCAUCAUUAUCAUCGCCAUCAUCAGUACCCACAAUUCCAGUGCAGGAUACUUCACUACAGUCUGGUGUAGUACAACAGAUGGUAUUCUUAAAAGUUUCAGUGUCUCCUUUUUAACAAGCAGCGGUGGAAGUUAUUAGGGACUUCAAGAGUGUUUUCAUGAUUUCAGUGAUAGUUUGUGAUAGUUUAACAAGGAACACCACUGAUGGUCUCUGAGUCCUUUGAAAAUAGUCCUUUUGAGAGAACAAAACGUUUACAAGGAUACAAACCAGUGUUUCUUUGUGUGAUGAAAUAACACACACACACACACACACACACACACACACACACACACACUGACCUCAAGGCUUUUCUGUGAAAGUAAAAGUGGUUUCAGGUCGGUCAUGAGAUUAUGAAAACCGUAUCUUGGCGAAUCACACACACACACACACACACACACACACACCAGGAGCAAUACGACUACAACUAUGUAUGUAUAUUUGAUUUUAUUAUUAUUGUAUCUUGAUUAUAUUAAUAUAGUUACAACAACGAAGCGUGUACAACUCGGAAGGGUAUUGUUAUUUUCCAGCAAUGCAGUAAUAUAUAAAUUUACUAUUACUUGCCUCCUUGCUGUCAUUUUGCCUGUUUUGUUACCUUUUUUUAAUUUUCUAAGCGUGAAGGAGACCGGCCGAGGGGACAAAAAUGAUGUAUAUAUGUUCAGAUAACUUAAACUUACUACACCUGACGAGUUUGUUUCUGAAGUUGCCUUUGAUAAAUUUAAAGAAAGAAAAGUUAAUUCUUUAAUGGAAAGUCAUGAAUUAUUGUCCUGAUUGUUGUUUUGAUUAUUGUUAUUAUUUUUUUCUUACCUUCUCUUUUGUUAGUAUUUCCUGCCCGUGUUUAUUCAUCACUGAGGGAGGGGAUAGUGGGGGGGGUGUGAACGACUC